rnacentral:rRNA from 1 species
AUGCAUGUCUAAGUACAAGCCGUUUACGGUGAAACUGCGAAAGGCUCAUUAAAUCAGUUAUGGUUCCUUAGAUCGUGCCAAAGUUACAUGGAUAACUGUGGUAAUUCUAGAGCUAAUACAUGCCGACAGAGCUCCGACCAGCAUGUCGAUCUGUGGUUCGCCGCAGUUUCGGCUGUUCGGAAGGAGCGCUUUUAUUAGAUCAAAACCGGCCAAGCGCUUCGUUCGCGAUUCGUUCGUGUUCGAGCGUAAGUGGCCCGCGCAAAGACUUGACGACUCUGAAUAACUUUUAGCUGAUCGCACGGUCUCGUACCGGCGACGUAUCUUUCAAAUGUCUGCCUUAUCAACUGUCGACGGUAGGUUCUACGCCUACCGUGGUGUUAACGGGUAACGGGGAAUCAGGGUUCGAUUCCGGAGAGGGAGCCUGAGAAACGGCUACCACAUCCAAGGAAGGCAGCAGGCACGCAACUUAUCCAUUGGACAUUGUUC